rnacentral:sRNA from 1 species
UUUAAAUUAUGUCAAUCCAAUAUUUAGCCAUGAGUCUGCAUGAUGUGAUUGGAAUACUAGAUUAGGAGAGAAUACAUGGAAUAAGAAAUUGUUCGCUUAGAAUCAAGUUACGCAACUUUCAAACCAAAUAAGUAACAAAAUUGGAUACCAUUGUAUCCUAUAUUGUUGAUGUAAGUAUUUCAUGAUAGUUAAAAAAGAUUAGAAUCUUGGAUAUAUAGAUAAGAAGAUUUAUACAUGAAAAAAUA